CCUACGGGAGGCAGCAGUGGGGAAUAUUGCACAAUGGGGGAAACCCUGAUGCAGCAACGCCGCGUGAGUGAAGAAGUAUUUCGGUAUGUAAAGCUCUAUCAGCAGGGAAGAAGAUGACGGUACCUGAGUAAGAAGCCCCGGCGGACUACGUUCCAGCAGCCGCGGUAAUACGGAGGGGGCAAGCGUUAUCCGGAUUUACUGGGUGUAAAGGGAGCGUAGACGGCGGGGCAAGUCUGACGCGACAGCCAAGGGCUCAACCAUGGGACUGCUUUGGAAACUGUUAAGCUAGUGUGCUGGCGAGGUAAUCGGAAUUCCUAGUGUAGCGGUGAAAUGCGUAGAUAUUAGGAAGAACACCAGUGGCGAAGGCGGCUUACUGGACAGUAACUGACGUUGAGGCUCGAAAGCGUGGGGAGCAAACAGGAUUAGAUACCCCAGUAGUC
rnacentral:rRNA from 1 species